GAACGCUGGCGGCGUGCCUAAUACAUGCAAGUCGAACGCUUUUUCUUUCACCGGAGCUUGCUCCACCGAAAGAAAAGGAGUGGCGAACGGGUGAGUAACACGUGGGUAACCUGCCCAUCAGAAGGGGAUAACACUUGGAAACAGGUGCUAAUACCGUAUAACAAUCGAAACCGCAUGGUUUCGGUUUGAAAGGCGCUUUUGCGUCACUGAUGGAUGGACCCGCGGUGCAUUAGCUAGUUGGUGAGGUAACGGCUCACCAAGGCAACGAUGCAUAGCCGACCUGAGAGGGUGAUCGGCCACAUUGGGACUGAGACACGGCCCAAACUCCUACGGGAGGCAGCAGUAGGGAAUCUUCGGCAAUGGACGCAAGUCUGACCGAGCAACGCCGCGUGAGUGAAGAAGGUUUUCGGAUCGUAAAACUCUGUUGUUAGAGAAGAACAAGGAUGAGAGUAAAAUGUUCAUCCCUUGACGGUAUCUAACCAGAAAGCCACGGCUAACUACGUGCCAGCAGCCGCGGUAAUACGUAGGUGGCAAGCGUUGUCCGGAUUUAUUGGGCGUAAAGCGAGCGCAGGCGGUUUCUUAAGUCUGAUGUGAAAGCCCCCGGCUCAACCGGGGAGGGUCAUUGGAAACUGGGAAACUUGAGUGCAGAAGAGGAGAGUGGAAUUCCAUGUGUAGCGGUGAAAUGCGUAGAUAUAUGGAGGAACACCAGUGGCGAAGGCGG
rnacentral:rRNA from 1 species